UGGGGAAUAUUGCACAAUGGAGGGAACUCUGAUGCAGCAACGCCGCGUGCGGGAUGACGGCCUUCGGGUUGUAAACCGCUUUCAGCCAUGACGAAGCUUUUGUGACGGUAGUGGUAGAAGAAGCACCGGCUAACUACGUGCCAGCAGCCGCGGUGAUACGUAGGGUGCGAGCGUUGUCCGGAAUUAUUGGGCGUAAAGAGCUUGUAGGCGGUUUGUCGAGUCGAUAGUGUAAACACGCAGCUUAACUGUGUGCCUGCUGUCGAUACGGGCUGACUAGAGGAGGGUAGUGGAGAAUGGAAUUCCCAGUGGAGCGGUGGAAUGCGCAGAUAUCGGGAGGAACACCGGUGGCGAAGGCGGUUCUCUGGACCUUUCCUGACGCUGAGAAGCGAAAGCGUGGGUAGCAAACAGG
rnacentral:rRNA from 1 species